CGGCGAGUGAAGCGGCAACAGCUCAAAUUUGAAAUCUGGCCCUUUCAGGGUCCGAGUUGUAAUUUGUAGAGGGUGCUUUGGUGUUGGCCGCAGUCUAAGUUCCUUGGAACAGGACGUCACAGAGGGUGAGAAUCCCGUACGUGGCUGAUGGUCUUCGCCGUGUAAAGCCCCUUCGACGAGUCGAGUUGUUUGGGAAUGCAGCUCUAAAUGGGAGGUAAAUUUCUUCUAAAGCUAAAUAUUGGCCAGAGACCGAUAGCGCACAAGUAGAGUGAUCGAAAGAUGAAAAGCACUUUGGAAAGAGAGUCAAAAAGCACGUGAAAUUGUUGAAAGGGAAGCGCUUGCGAUCAGACUUGCUCGUAGUUGCUCAUCUGGACUCUUGCCUGGUGCACUCUUCUGCGGGCAGGCCAGCAUCAGUUCGGGCGGCUGGAUAAAGGCCUCUAUCACGUAUCUUCCUUCGGGAUGACCUUAUAGGGGAGGCGUAAUGCAGCCAGCCUGGAUUGAGGUCCGCGCAUCUGCUAGGAUGCUGGCGUAAUGAUUGUAAGCGGCCCGUCUUGAAACACGGACCAAGGAGUCUAACAUCUAUGCGAGUGUUUGGGUGUCAAGCCCGGGCGCGCAAUGAAAGUGAACGGAGGUGGGAACCCUCACGGGUGCACCAUCGACCGAUCCUGAUGUCUUCGGAUGGAUUUGAGUAAGAGCAUAGCUGUUGGGACCCGAAAGAUGGUGAACUAUGCCUGAAUAGGGUGAAGCCAAAGGAAACUCUGGUGGAGGCUCGCAGCGGUUCUGACGUGCAAAUCGAUCGU
rnacentral:rRNA from 1 species